rnacentral:tRNA from 2 species
GGACCGUUAGCUUAGUUGGUAGAGCAGGGGACUCUUAAUCCCAAGGUCGUAGGUUCGAAUCCUACACGGUCCACCA